rnacentral:rRNA from 1 species
AUUGAACGCUGGCGGCAGGCCUAACACAUGCAAGUCGAGCGGAUGAGGAAAGCUUGCUUUUCGAUUCAGCGGCGGACGGGUGAGUAAUGCCUAGGAAUCUGCCUGUUAGUGGGGGAUAACUCGGGGAAACUCGGGCUAAUACCGCAUACGUCCUACGGGAGAAAGUGGGGGAUCGUCGGACCUCACGCCAACAGAUGAGCCUAGGUCGGAUUAGCUAGUAGGUGAGGUAAUGGCUCACCUAGGCGACGAUCCGUAACUGGGCUGAGAGGAUGAUCAGUCACACUGGAACUGAGACACGGUCCGGACUCCUACGGGAGGCAGCAGUGGGGAAUAUUGGACAAUGGGCGAAAGCCUGAUCCAGCCAUGCCGCGUGUGUGAAGAAGGUCUUCGGGUUGUAAAGCACUUUCAGCGAGGAGGAAGGGUGGUGUGUUAAUAGCACAUCAUUUUGACGUUACUCGCAGAAGAAGCACCGGCUAACUCUGUGCCAGCCGCCGCGGUAAGAC